CUCAAUGGUCCUCCUGACGUUCUAAGCUUGUUCUUGUGUCACAGAGCCUGGAAGUCUGGAAAGCACAUUGUCCAGAUUCCUUUGCCGGUGGAACAUGGAGUGAUAGAAAACAGGAGCUGGGUUGAGGCAAGACAGAUGUCACCAAGCAUCUGCUACAUCCCAUGGCUGGCAACAGAAACAUGGCUUCUGAGAACAUAAUGUUGCUCAGCUAAAUUUGAGAAGAGCCUUCUCUUUCUCUGCUAUCUGCAAACUUAAUCCUUCUAAGGGCGGUGGAGUUGCUAACAUUCAGGCCAGGUGUUGACCAGGAAGUGAAGCGAGAUUAUUAAGAGUACACUUACACACCGCAAGCUGCAUCACAAGUGCCUCAGAAUGCUUGAAAAUGAGGUCCUAUCUGGCACAGCUGCCCAGGGUUUGCGUUUCCUGUUCACAUCUGUGGGUUCUCUGUGAUCAAGAACUGCCUGCCCUGGGAAAUCCACUUGUUUUCCUCCACUCAGUGCCAAAUGCCUUCGUCUUUGUUUCUGCAAGCUCUCAACAUUCACUAUUGGCCUUUUAA
rnacentral:lncRNA from 1 species